CGUUUUUUUCUCUUCCUUCGUCCCGUAAUCACUGAUUCACCCCCAUUUCCUCUUUGUUUCCUUCUUCUCCUGAAAUCACCCCAUGUUCAUUUCUCUUCUUCAACCCCCCUCGCCUCCUUCUCUCUAUCAUCCACGUUCUUGUACGUCUUCUAGCAUGGUGAAUUGUCUUCCAAAAGGUUGAAGGAUUUCCUCCAAGAAUUCACCAUAAGAAAUCGCGAUUCGGAUUGAGAAGGCCAAGGUGUUGUACAAAGAGAUGCUAGAUUGUAAUUUCACAAUGGAGCACUAUUAGUGUCUUUUGAGACACCAACCAAAAUGAUAGCAACACAUCUCUACCCUUGGUAAGAAAAGAAGGCCACAAGAAAAAGUGUUUAGUGUUGUUAAUGUUGACAUAGCUGAGGAGGAGGUAGAGGUUCUUGCUGAGAGACCUCCAGACAAAAAAGCUGAAAAAAAAAAUGAGAGGAAGCGGAAGUCAAUCGAAAGCAACGAUGGUAAGAUCAAGAUUGCCUUAGCUAAAAUGACCGAGGAUAGAGCCACGACCAUGGAAGAGCGUAGAAAUGUUGUGUUGAAGGAAGACCUAAAAAGAUCAACAGCAUUUGAACUAAAGAAGAAAAAGUUUGAGACAAAGUGUUGCUAGAUCUAAGUGGUAUAAAUGCCAUGCAGCAAGAAUAUUUCAGCUAUAUUCAACUCAAUAUUUUUUAGGAAUGUAGGUCCCAUUCUGGAGGUACAUCCAUAUGUCCUUCAACACCUUAUGGAGAUGUCUAACGUCUAAUGUUAUUAGUAAAGAAUAAUUUUUUUGAAAUUUUAGUGGCUGCCAAGCCACAUGUUGGUUGGAUAAAUAAGUGGCUCGGUAGAAACUAAAUUAAUGGAAUGAUUAAUGAAUUGUUUUGAUAAUUUCUAGAUUGUUUUGGUAA